rnacentral:rRNA from 1 species
GACGAACGCUGGCGGCGUGCUUAAUACAUGCAAGUCGAACGGAAAGGCCCUGCUUUUGCGGGGUGCUCGAUUGGCGAACGCGGGAGUAACACGUGAGUAACCUGCCCCUGUCUUUCGGAUAACUUCAGGAAACUGCGGCUAAUACCCGAUAGGAUCUCCUGCUGCACGGUGUUGGUUGGAAAGUUACGGCGGUAUGGGAUGGACUCGCUGCUUAUCAGCUUGUUGGUCGGGUAGUUGCUUACCAGGCCUUCGACGGGUAGCCGGCCUGGGAGCGUGACCGGCCACAUUGCGCCUGCGGUACGGACCAGACUGCUACCGGACGCAGCAGUCGAGAGUCUUGCGCAAUGGGGGGACGCGAGAGGCGGAGGCGCUGCGUGCGGGAUGCCGGGUUACGGGGGGUAAACAGAUGUCGAAUGAGCCGAGGCGAGAGUGACGGUAACGGGUAAAGAAGCACCGGCUAACUACGUG